AUGAAACGAAUGCCAGAUUUUCGCAUGGCCGCAUCAGAAAGAAGCAAUCCAAUCGCAACUACACUACACAGCGCGCACUUUUCUUCCCCCCGAACCCCCUCCCUUUCCAAUCGAGAAACUACUACAAGGAAUCGAUGCAGAGCAAGACCGGCAAAGAGGGGAGAAGUAUGCUCCAGCAUUCAACUGACCUGGAUCGAAGAGCUUGCAAGGCCUCGCAAUGAAUCAGCAGAGAGCCAGAGACCCAAACCUUUCUCUCUCUCUCUCUCUCUCUCCCUCACUCACUCUCUCUCUCUCUCUCGAUUUGAAAUUUGA
rnacentral:rRNA from 1 species